rnacentral:rRNA from 1 species
AUUGAACGCUGGCGGCAUGCCUUACACAUGCAAGUCGAACGGCAGCACGGGAGCAAUCCUGGUGGCGAGUGGCGAACGGGUGAGUAAAGUAUCGGAACGUGCCCAGUCGUGGGGGAUAACGUAGCGAAAGUUACGCUAAUACCGCAUACGAUCUAUGGAUGAAAGCGGGGGAUCGCAAGACCUCGCGCGAUUGGAGCGGCCGAUAUCAGGUUAGGUAGUUGGCGGGGUAAAGGCUCACCAAGCCGACGAUCUGUAGCUGGUCUGAGAGGACGACCAGCCACACUGGGACUGAGACACGGCCCAGACUCCUACGGGAGGCAGCAGUGGGGAAUUUUGGACAAUGGGCGAAAGCCUGAUCCAGCCAUGCCGCGUGCAGGAUGAAGGCCUUCGGGUUGUAAACUGCUUUUGUACGGAACGAAAAGGUUUGGCCUAAUAAGCUGAGCUCAUGACGGUACCGUAAGAAUAAGCACCGGCUAACUACGUGCCAGCAGCCGCCGUAA